GUGAGGGAAGGGGUGACUAGUGGCAGAGUGAGGGAUGACUGGUGACAGAGUGAGAGAGGGGGUGACUAAUGACAGAGUGAGAGAGGGUGUGACUAGUGACAGAGUGAGGGAGGGGGUGACACAGUGACAGAGUUAGGGAGGGAGUGACUAGUGACAGUCACCCCCUCUCUCACUCUGUCACUAGUCACACACACCCUCUCUCACUCUGUCAUUAGUCACCCCCUCUCUCACUCUGUCACCAGUCAUCCCUUCCUUCCCUCACUCUGCCACUAGUCAUCCCUUCCCUCAC